CACAGUUAACUGCCUGUACCACGAAAGCUUUUCUGUAGUCAAUGAUGUAAUCGCUUAUGACUGCUACAUGCAUCUGAAAGGACAAGCGGCUGCUGGGGAAGAAGAAAGUACGCUUUAAGAGAGAAGAUGUCAGUUGGCCUCCGGUCAGCUGUGGAUGAUUGGAUCUGACAAGUGUUGUAGCUGCUCGUGGUAAUGGAUGUCUAUGCUACAGUAGAGAGGAGGAAUAUUCUUUCAGGAGAUAAAGGGGCU